GACGAACGCUGGCGGCGUGCUUAACACAUGCAAGUCGAACGGAAAGGCCCUGCUUUUGUGGGGUGCUCGAGUGGCGAACGGGUGAGUAACACGUGAGUACCCUGCCCUUGACUUUGGGAUAACUUCAGGAAACUGGGGCUAUUACCGGAUAGGAGCUCCUGCUGCUUGGUGGGGGUUGGAAAGUUUCGGCGGUUGGGGAUGGACUCGCGGCCUAGCAGCUUGUUGGUGGGGUAGUGGCUUACCAAGGCUUUGACGGGUAGCCGGCCUGAGAGGGUGAGCGGCCACAUUGGGACUGGGAUACGGCCCAGACUCCUACGGGAGGCAGCAGUGGGGAAUAUUGCACAAUGGGCGGAAGCCUGAUGCAGCAACGCCGCGUGCGGGAUGACGGCCUUCGGGUUGUAAACCGCUUUCGCCUGUGACGAAGCGGGAGUGACGGUAAUGGGUAGAGAAGCACCGGCUAACUACGUG
rnacentral:rRNA from 1 species